UGGGGAAUAUUGGGCAAUGGGCGGAAGCCUGACCCAGCAACGCCGCGUGAAGGAAGAAGGCCCUCGGGUUGUAAACUUCUUUUGUCAGGGACGAAACAAAUGACGGUACCUGACGAAUAAGCCACGGCUAACUACGUGCCAGCAGCCGCGGUAAUACGUAGGUGGCAAGCGUUAUCCGGAUUUACUGGGUGUAAAGGGCGUGUAGGCGGGAGAGCAAGUCAGAUGUGAAAUUCCAGGGCUCAACCCAUAAACUGCUUUCAAAACUGUUUUUCUUGAGUGAAGUAGAGGCAGGCGGAAUUCCUAGUGUAGCGGUGAAAUGCGUAAAUAUUAGGAGGAACACCAGUGGCGAAGGCGGCCUGCUGGGCUUUAACUGACGCUGAGGCUCGAAAGUGUGGGGAGCAAACAGGAUUAGAUACC
rnacentral:rRNA from 1 species